GGCUCAGAUGGGAUGGGAGGGGGGGUGAAGGGGGCUCAUAUGGGGAGGGAGGGGGAAUGAAGGGGGCUUAUAUGGGGAGGGAGGGGGGAGUGAAGAGGGCUCAGAUGGGUUGAAACACAGAGGAAGCCUUUGAAGUUUGUUACGCUGCAUACAUCAGGUGACAAGAAGAUGUUCAGCAAAACAUAUAGAUGACCCAAGUCCUUUUCUUAACAGCUUGGGUGACAUUACGACAUACUGAUGACAAGGUAAAUAAUCUGUAUUCCAAACCUUUUGCAGAAAAAAUGUGAAAUCUCACCCUGGCGUCUAACUCGAACUCCUCCAUGCACUCUGAAUUGACGAGAUACAUAUACAUAUUGUAUAAUUACGUAUUUCUAUCAAGAAUGCUUUUUUUCUGUGCUAUUCUGUGUCCGCUUGCACCUGAACUCAAUCAGUGCCUUUACCCAAAACUAAGCUAACAUUAUUCGCGUUAAGCAACUCAUCAUGGAUUAGUUUUCAUGCACUUGAUGGAACGGGUUAAGAAGAUUCCUAUGAUACCCCUUGGAUAAAGCAGCUGUCUGUGGGCCAAUCGGAAGGAACAGCUUUCUAUGGGCCAACCAGAAGGAACAGCUGUCUGUGGGCCAAUCAGAAGGCACACCUGUCUAUGGGCCAAUCUUCUAUCUCUCGCUUUAAGCUAACACCAUCCUAUUUCUGUCACUUGAAAUUUUGCAAAAUUUUUUUAAAGAGCUAUGAAGGCUUCCUCAACGGCACAGACAUACCUGUUUGUACUGUACACAUACAUCUGAAACAUUCUGUUCUGUAAGCCUGAUCAGCAGAACCCAGAAGCUCUGCUGAGAGUGAUGAAUGGCGCGCUGCGUUUCAUGAGCUCUGGUUCUUCUUGGUUCAGUAACAGUCGAGGGGAUUUUACUGAACCCUAACCCUAACCCCAUCUGAGCUCAGCUUGUUUCAUAAGCUGAGCUCUGGUUCUCCUUGGUUCAGUAACAGUGGAGGGGAUGGCUGUGUUUCAUAAGCUGAGCUCUGGUUCUCCUUUGUUCAGUAACAGUGGAGGGGAUGCCUGUGUUUCAUAAGCUGAUCUCUGGUUCUUCUUGGUUCAGUAACAGUGGAGGGGAUGGCUGGUGUGUUGCUAGCCAGCAGGGUGACUCAACACUUUAGCACGCGUCUAGCAGCGAACACACGUUUGUUCCAAGAACGCCGCUCACAACUGUGAGUGCUUUCACCUGUUAAAUGGUACCCACAUACAAACACACUCACACUUUUCUCAUUCUGUUUGUCAAAGAGAUCGUCGGGGAGCCUCGUAGUCUGUCAUAGUCAGUGAUGACGUUGUACUAUGUUUUGACAACCAUUUUCCUUUUCUUUGUUAUCACGGAUAUGGAUGCCCAAAAUAAGCAACUGUAAAUGUGUAACACACUAUUUCAUAUGGUGUUUCCCCACACUUGAUAUGAUGGUACCAAUCGCAGCGCAACUGACAUAAAUAGCUAGAUUUCAGAUUUCAGGUUACAUGGUCGACAAACAGAUAUGAUAACAAUAUGCCCGUCUCAAUUAAAGCCCUUGGCCUGCUAACCGCCAUGCUAGGUGGUUAAAGAGGAAGUAAUUUUUCGAAAUUUUCACUCACAUUGAUUCCUUGACGCCAGGACAGAUUAUUCAGGGACAUGUAAUUUAAUGUUUUUUGUAAGCACGUCUUGUUUGUUCAUACAAAAGUAGAGUCAUGUGCCAUCAUGUGGUAUGUAAUAAGUAGCUGACACGGGUGCACAAAGUUUUUAUUGCACUGUGAAUUAUGUAUUUGUGACAAAACCUCCCGGCACUGAGUCCCUUCAGGUCACACACAAAAGAUGUAUUAGUUGUACAAAAAAAUUGUAAAUAUGUAUAUUUGCAAUGUGUGUGAAGAUAUUGAAUAAAGUUCUUUUUUUUAAUAGUCAAAUGGGUUGUCUUUUUUCCACCUGCAAACUCUGUCUAUUCAAUUUCAAGCCCCGACAACCGAAACACAAACACAGACUCAAAUUACACAUAAGUUUCAUUGUUCACUGACAUAGUUUCCCUGUAUGCCUCUUCUAAAAAUGCCUUGUCCAAUAGAUCAGAAGAAGAGGACAACAUUUCUUAAACAAGAUUCACAUUUCCCCUUCUAAGUGCUUAAAAACCUUCUACCCCACACUGACCUUUGCGUAACGUAGCAUUUAGCUUGAAUGUCAAUAAUGGUUCAGUGCUUUUUUUCAUGGAAUGCGCUUACACACACACACACACACACACACACACACACACACACACACACACACACACACACACACACACACACACACUUGCGCAAGGAUAGAG
ensembl:lncRNA